UACGAAGGGGCUAGCGUUGCUCGGAAUCACUGGGCGUAAAGCGCACGUAGGCGGCUUCUAAGUCAGGGGUGAAAUCCUGGAGCUCAACUCCAGAACUGCCUUUGAUACUGGAGAGCUUGAGUCCGGAAGAGGUGAGUGGAACUCCGAGUGUAGAGGUGAAAUUCGUAGAUAUUCGGAAGAACACCAGUGGCGAAGGCGGCUCACUG
rnacentral:rRNA from 1 species